CUAGCAACAAGCAUCAACACUCUGGCAUCAACUGUUGCUGAUGCAAAACACACGUUUUGCGAAACUGUUUGAGGCCAAAAACAUUAGCUAAAGUGACGCGUUAGCAGACCUGUGUUUGACCAAGGAAGAUGUCUGCCUUUCUCAAACACUCACCUUCGGCUUCCACGUGGGUUUGGCAAUAUCUUGGAGGGGUUGGUUCGAGAGGUCCUGCGAGACCAGCCCAAGAACAUCCCCACAUUUGCUGCAUUUUACUUCCCCGCUCUUCUCAAAGAAAGAGAAGAGAGUGGCUUGGACCGUGCAGAGUGGUGUGCCAGGCUUGAGGACAGAUUCUACGAUGUCAACUUUCUUUCUUUCUAAAUAGUCAUUCUGUAUCAAACGAGAAAAGUACAUUUCCUGAAGAAAAUGUGGUCGUGCUUGUUUUAAAGUAUUUGUGGUUUUGAAAUAAGUACUAGUAGUGGCAGUGACUGAUUAUAGUUGAAGGGGGAAAAAGUAGGUAGAUGUAAAAAAAUAUAUAUAUAUAUAUAUAAAAAAAAACAUUUUUUAAAAGAUUGAUUAUUUGGCUGAUUGAUAAAUGUAUUGGAUAGGAUAGCUUGAACAUGUAAAAGUUGGAUUGGUACCUCUAGCUUGAAUGGUUCAAGAGUUACUGUUGGUGUGUUCUUAUGCUAAUUUGUAUAGUCGUAGUUGAUCAACGUUUUUAAGAAUUUGAAGUUAGGAUAGCCUGAACAUGAGAACGUUGGUUUUGGUGCCUUUAGCUUGAACGGUUCAACAGUUACUGUUUCUGAGUUAUUUCAUACUAAUUAUGAAAAUGUUUAUAGAAAUAGUUGACAAUGAUUUAAAAUAAUUUGAAGUUAGAAUAGCCUGAACAUGUGCAUUGGUGUCUCUAGCUUGAACAGUUACAAUUGGUACGUUAAUUUAUGCUAAUGUUUGCACAUUUAUAUGAUUUUAGAUUAUUAACGUUUUUAAGAAUUGGAAGUUAGGAUAGCCCAAACGUGAUAGUUGGUUUAGUUUCUCUAGCUUGAACGGUUCAACAGUUUCUGUUGGUGAGUUAUUUUAUGCUAAUUAUAGAAAUGUAAAUAGUUAUAAUUGAUACAAGUUUUUAAGAACUGAAAGUUAGGAUCGCCUGAACAUGUGAUAGUUGGUUUGGUGUCUAGCUUGAACGGUUCAAGAGUUUAUGUUGGUUAUUUUAUACUAAUGUAUGCCAAUUUAUGUGCUUAUAGUCAAUAAAGAAUUUGAAAUGAG